rnacentral:tRNA from 1 species
GCCGGCGUGGUGAAAUGGCAGACACGGCAGACUCAAAAUCUGCUGACCGCAAGGUUGUAUCGGUUCAAGUCCGAUCGCCGGUA